rnacentral:lncRNA from 1 species
GGAAGGGAAGGGAAGGGAAGGGAAGGGAAGGGAAGGGAAGGGAAGGGAAGGGAAGGGAAGGGAAGGGAAGGGAAGGGAAGGGAAGGCGCGGGAAGGGAAGGCGCGGGAAGGGAAGGGAAGGCGCGGGAAGGGAAGGGAAGGGAAGGGAAGGGAAGGCGCAGGAAGGGAAGGGAAGGGAAGGGAAGGGAAGGGAAGGGAAGGGAAGGGAAGGGAAGGGAAGGGAAGGAAGGGAAGGGAAGGGAAGGGAAGGGAAGGGAAGGGAAGGGAAGGGAAGGGAAGGGAAGGGAAGGGAAGGGAAGGGAAGGCGCGGGAAGGGAAGGGAAGGGAAGGGAAGGGAAGGGAAGGGAAGGGAAGGGAAGGGAAGGGAAGGAAGGGAAGGGAAG